GCCUGGGUGGCUCAGUCAGUUAAGCGUCUGAUUUCAGCUCAGGUCAUGAUCUCGCAGUGUGCAAGUUCAAGUCCUGCAUCAGGCU
rnacentral:tRNA from 1 species